rnacentral:rRNA from 1 species
UACGAAGGGGGCUAGCGUUGCUCGGAAUCACUGGGCGUAAAGCGCACGUAGGCGGAUUGCUAAGUCAGGGGUGAAAUCCUGGAGCUCAACUCCAGAACUGCCUUUGAUACUGGCGAUCUUGAGUCCGGGAGAGGUGAGUGGAACUGCGAGUGUAGAGGUGAAAUUCGUAGAUAUUUGCAAGAACACCAGUGGCGAAGGCGGCUCACUGGCCCGGUACUGACGCUGAGGUGCGAAAGCGUGGGGAGCAAACAGG